GCCUAGUUAAAAAAAUUCCUUUUAAUUAAGAGAUUUUAAGGACUAACUCCUUAAGCUUUCACCUACUCAACUCACCCCCACGAUGAUCAUCUUCUCCAACCUCCAUCGCCAAUUUAUCUCCAUGAGCUGUCUCGUUGCUCUCUCUGCCAUCAUCACAGUUUGAGUGGGCUUGGCAGCAUCCGAGAGAAGCUGCCGCUGCUUUCAAAUCCUUCUCUGGACUUGCUAGCAAUGUCAAGCUUGAUUUCAUCUUGCUCUCUCUUCCUGCUUGGAAUAGACUUGGAAGCUGAGAAGACAAGAAAGAAGACGGAACUGGAACUUUCCUCCGAUGGAGAAAAGAGUCGGAAUAAAACAAAGGUUGAUCUUAAUCAAUCUGCUGCUGCUGCUAUAACUGAUGUUGAUGAGAGUUACGAGUUGCGUGGAAAUGUUCAGCUUGAAGUUGUGGCUACUGAAUCUUCACCACGAGAUGAUACUCUUCCGGAAACAGCCAGAAAAGGUAUCCUCUGUCUGUCUAUAAAAGAUUGGAGCAUAGUUAUCUGUUGUUUAAUUGAAUCUAGUUAUGCUCUCAUAAUGUAAUUGUGAUUCUUGUGUAGAAACUGAGAUGGGUAAUUCUUUUUAUUCUUAAAGAUUCAAAUAUAAAAAACACAAUUGGACAUU